GGUAUGGGAUGAGCUUGCGUCCGAUUAGCUAGUUGGCGGGGCAACGGCCCACCAAGGCGACGAUCGGUAGCCGGCCUGAGAGGGUGAUCGGCCACAUUGGGACUGAGAUACGGCCCAGACUCCUACGGGAGGCAGCAGUAGGGAAUAUUGCACAAUGGGGGAAACCCUGACGCAGCAACGCCACGUGUGGGAAGAAGCAUUUCGGUGUGUAAACCACUGUCAUGAGGGAAUAAGGCCCGUUUUCGGACGGGAUUGAAUGUACCUUGAGAGGAAGCACCGGCAAACUUCGUGCCAGCAGCCGCGGUAAUACGAGGGGUGCAAGCGUUGUUCGGAAUUACUGGGCGUAAAGGGAGCGUAGGCGGAGAUUCAAGCGGAUUGUACAAUCCCGGGGCCCAACCCCGGCUCUGCAGUCCGAACUGGAUUUCUUGGAUAGUUCAGGGGCAGGC
rnacentral:rRNA from 1 species